ACCCCAGCACCCCGCCUGGGGAAAAGCA
rnacentral:tRNA from 1 species